AGCCUCGGUGCAGGCAGCCUCGCUGGCGCUCUGGGGGAAUUUCAGGGAAGCGGCGCCGGGGCCCCGCACCCUCCGGCUGCUCCCACCGAGCCCCCUGCUGUCGGCAUGGCCCCGGGGUGCUGCUGGAGCCCCGCACCCCCCGCUGCCUGCCAGAGUUCAUCGCGUCCUUCUGAUGUUCUGCAACGGGCAGCAAAACCUCCCUGGAGAUGAGGGCUUUCAUUUUCAGCACUGCAUGAUUUACCUUCCUCAAUUCCAAAGGAGCACAUAUUUCCUCCCGGAGGAUUAAGCCAAGCCAGGAGCCCAGCCAGGCGCUGCCACUGCAAAGAGCAACGAGGACAAGAUUUCCUGCCAACCCCAGCACAGCCUCCUCAACCUGCUGCCCCUGGGACAAACCAGGAGACUCUUCUAAAUGGCCCCACGGGACCAUUUUAGAGUUUAAAAAAACCCCAGGAUCCCAGGGAACUGAGCUCAACACUGCUUAAUGCUCCUCACCUCCAACUAUGUGCAUUGCUGGUAGUAUAUUGGAAAUAUUUUAAAAACAGCGUUUGAUAAUCUUCUACAUGAACAUUCCCCUCAAGAGGUAUGUUGUUAGCACCAGCCGUGCAGAGCAGUAGAGCUCUGACUCGUUGUCAGAUUUGCCACAGGUUCAAAUGUGCCUCUCUCCUGGUGUGCCAGUUUGCACCACUAUCUUGACGGGAUGGUGAUAGUCCAGGACGUGCUCAGAAAUCUACUUCAGACUCAUUACUCUCUGUAAUAUCAUCUGCCAUCCUGCAAAACAGAGCAGUGCAUAAUUAAACAUUUAAAUCUUCUCCAGAUGGUAGGAGAAGCUCUCUCCUUGGAAGGAAGGCACAGGGGAGGAGGCAGGGUUUCUUGGCUCUGCUGUGGAUGCAGCAAAACCCUGCGCUCGAGCCAAGACAGGCCUCGAGACACCUUUAAAUUGAUUGAACAGAAUCAGUCAGCAAUCACAGAAAUGUCAGGCAGUGCUUUAAUGCAUUCAGAGUGUAUCAUUUUCUGACCUCUGCUAACCCAGGCAUCGAUUAGUUCAGAGGCUUCCUUUACCCAGGGGAAUACACACUGUUUAUAAACACACGCAAGCACUACCUGCACACACCCAC